rnacentral:rRNA from 1 species
CUGCCUUAUUCGAUUGGCCUGUAGAAGUGAAGUAAUGAUUAAGAGGAACAGUCGGGGGCAUUCGUAUUUCAUUGUCAGAGGUGAAUUUGUUGGAUUUAUGAAAGACGAACUACUGCGAAAGCAUUUGCCAAGGAUGUUUUCAUUAAUCAAGAACGAAAGUUGGGGGCUCGAAGACGAUUAGUGAAUAUACUAGUCUCAACCAGUAUUUUAGCAUGAUGUGGGUUAUGCCCGACUUUUUGUAGUGGUCUGUUAGCACAAAAAAAGAGAUCAAAGUUUAUGCUUUCCAAGGGGAGUAUGAUCGCGGGGCAGAAACUUAAGGAAUUGACAGGAAGGGCCCGACCAGACGUGGAUCCUGCGGUUUAAUUUGGUUGGCCGCGGGAAAACCUUCCAGGUCCAGGCAUAGGAAGGAUUGACAGAUUGGGAGCUCUUUCUUUAUUCUAUGGGUGGUGGUGCAUGGCCGUUCUUAGAUGGAGGGUUGUCUUGUCAGGUUGAUUCCGGUAACGAACGGGCCCUCAGCCUUUAAAUAGUCACUGUCGCUUUUUGCGGUUGGCUUUUGACUUCUUAGAGGGACAGUUGGCGUUUAGUCAACGGAAGUAUGAGGCAAUAACAGGUCGUUGAUGCCCUUAGAUGUUGUGGGCCGCACGCGCGCUACACUGAUGCAUUCAACAAGCCUAUCCCUAGCCGAAAGGCUCGGGUAAUCUUUGAAACUUCAUGAAGAUGGGGAUAGAUUAUUGCAAUUAUUAGUCUUCACCGAGGAAUGCCUAGUAAGCGCAAUUCAUCAGACCGCGAGGAUUACGUCCCUGCCCUUUGUACACACCGCCUGUCGCUCCUACCGAGUGGGUGAACUGGUGAAGUGUUCGGACUGGCAACGAUCGGUGGCAACACCGUCGGUUGCCCAGAAGUUCCUGUAACCCUCCCGCCAAGCGUAACGAGAAGUCGA